rnacentral:lncRNA from 1 species
CUCGGCUCCUCCCUCCUCCUUGCCCACUAACCUCGUCCUCCCCCGCCCCUCCCUCUCCGCCCCCCCUCACCUCUCCACUCCCCAUCCUGCCGCCUCCGGCCGCCGCGCCGGCCUCGGCUCUACCGGAAACACCGGUCACUGAGCGCCGGAAGUGACCUCGCCGGCCGGCCCAGCGCGUUACCCGUCGCGCACGCCGGGGCGGUGGCCGCUCUAGGCAGCCCCGGCGCGGGAAGGUGGAGGGGAGGGGGGGGAGGAGGCGGAGAAGGAAGGGGCGACCAUAGAGCGCUGGAGGACCGAGGGCGCCCCCCAGCGGGCGGCUCCGGGAACAGGCGCCCCUGCAGACGCCGGUGUCUCGCCUCACGCUGGGAUGAAUCCCGACGGCACCUACAAGCAGCUGGACCCACUGGAGAACCGUGGGGCUCAGCCCACCCGCUUCCUGCUGAAGUGCACCCGCGGUGCGUUGCUCUCCACCAUCCUCCUCGCCCUCUUCAUCCUCAUCUUCCUCCUCUCAAAUUCUCUCGUCUGAGGCUAGUCUCCGCAGUGAUGCCAGAAGUGAUGCUGGCGGCGAUGCCAGAUCCUGCGGUGACACAUGCCGGUAAGACGAGCUUAUGGGGGGUGACACUCCCCUGAGACCCUUGGCAUCCUGAUGCUAACAAUGCACCAUGUGGCGUGUCGCUGAAUUUCCACCUAUAGUGAUCCGUUCCUGGUGGAAAGACAUCCACAGUAGGGAAGACCUCUCCAGUGAUGGUUCCGUGCCAAAUCCGUCCACCUUCUCCACGUGAUGAACCUCUUGGGGACCGUCAACCAACAUCCUGGACAUCGCCCGUCCUUCUUACUGUGACCACACUGGAC